UCCCCGCUGCGACUCCAAUGGGCACCGAUAUCUCUUCCGUCCACCACGAACGACUCUCUCCCAAAAUUCCAGACAAAAAUGCAACCAUGAAGGCACAUCGAAACAGCAGCAUUUAUAGCCCGCUCAUCUCCUUGCCUUCCAUUACAUUGCAAAUACGGUAGACACUGCUGGAUUUAACUAAGCGGCCGCCGCCUUCCACAGGCACGUUCCUCAGUCCCUUCUGCUACAAUUGGUACCAUCCCUUCCACUUCUCCUUCCCAACAAUGUCAACACCUCUUUUCAAUCCCCUCCUUUCCAUGGUCCUUGUAUAUCUAGAUCAUCGGCGAGGUUGUGCCUAAUCGCCAGAUGCUUAGUGCUUUUAUCCAACUUGGCAUCGUAAUGUGCAUCUGUCAUCCGCCGAUUCUGCGGUUCAUCUCCUGGUGGUCAUGCAAUCAUGCGCCCAUGCAUGUCUUCGCAUCUGUCACUCAAGCUCAUGUCUCUUUCCUCGCUUGGAAGUACAACUCUAUCCUCCUCACAGGUUGCGCAUCUGCCACUAUCUGUCCAAGGAAAUGAGUGACAUAAAUGUUGAAUCUGGUGCCUGAUAUGCUUUGUUGGACUAUCUGCCUCUCUUUUCUUAUGAUUAUGAAGUGCUCAGAUAUUUUUUGUGUUCUGAAGUUCAACUUCAGGUGCUAUCACUAAAUUUAACUGAUGUCAAUGAUAGUCACCGUUGACGUCCAAAUAGAAGUUAUAUCAAGGAAAAGGCCCAUCUACAAAUGCUUGACAUGACACAAGGAUGACACGGCAUAUCCUGGAUCAUUUUCUUAGUGUCUUCAUAAACAUUCAUAUUAUGUCAUUGCAUAGAGUUUUUUUAUCCGUCGGUAUAUGUGCUAAAUUUUCUAACUAAUACCUUGGUGUUGUCGGUUAUCAUCACAAGUGUACUCCAUCA